UACGUAGGUGGCAAGCGUUGUCCGGAUUUAUUGGGUUUAAAGGGUGCGUAGGCGGCUUUGUAAGUCAGUGGUGAAAUAUGGCAGCUCAACUGUCAGGGUGCCAUUGAUACUGCAGAGCUUGAGUACAGAUGAGGUAGGCGGAAUUGACGGUGUAGCGGUGAAAUGCUUAGAUAUCGGCAAGAACACCUAUAGCGAAGGCAGCGUACUAGGCUGUAACUGACGCUGAGGCACGAAAGUGUGGGGAUCAAACAGG
rnacentral:rRNA from 1 species